UACGUAGGGGGCUAGCGUUGUCCGGAAUCAUUGGGCGUAAAGCGCGUGUAGGCGGCCCGAUAAGUCCGCUGUGAAAGUCCAGGGCUCAACCCUGGGAUGCCGGUGGAUACUGUCGGGCUCGAGUCCGGAAGAGGCGAGUGGAAUUCCUGGUGUAGCGGUGAAAUGCGCGGAUAUCAGGAGGAACACCAAUGGCGAAGGCAGCUCGCUGGGACGUGACUGACGCUGAGGAGCGAAAGCAUGGGGAGCGAACAGG
rnacentral:rRNA from 1 species